rnacentral:rRNA from 1 species
AUGGACCUCGACCUCGCCCUGCAAGAGACCCGCCCGGCCGUCGCCGGCGAGGACUUCGCCUUCUCCACCACCGAGACCGACGACGCCUUCCUCGUCCUCGCCCACCUCCCAGGGUAUGACAAGGAUGCGAUCGAGGUCCGCGUCGGCGACGGCGGCAGGGAGAUCCGCGUCGACGUGGGCGCGCGGAAGGACGGUGCCGGGCUCGCUGUGGAGGCGGCGCGCGCCGGGACGCGGCUGCGGGUGGCGCACCGGCGGGCGGUGGAGGGUUUCUGCCGUGUGUUCGACGUGCCGGACGGCGCCGACGUGGGCCGGGUCACCGUCGGGUUCGAGGAGGACGACGAGCUGCUCGUCAUCAUCAUGCCCAAGCUGCGGCCGCUGCAGGCCUCCCCGCCGGACGACGAGGCGCGCGUCGACGUCGAGAGCACGGACUACGAGUGCGCGUCGUCGGACGGGACGGAGGUGGAGCUCGACGACGGGUGGUCGUCGGCUAGCCUCGAGCUGGAGCAGGAGGAGUGGGUCGACGUCGACGGCGAGCCUGAGCCGCCGCCUCGAGACGUGCCGGUGGAGACGCCCGUGGAGAUACAGGAGGACGUGCCGGUGGAGACGCUCGUGGAGAUUCAUGGGCCGGAUCCCAUAAUCACGGACGUGGCGGUGGAGACGCCCGUGGAGGUCGAGGAGGAGGAGGACCCUCCGAUGCAGGACAUCGAGUGUGACGUCGUGUUCGACGUCCCGGUGUACAGUGAGCUGCCGGUGGAGACGCCGAUCGAAGUGCUCGGGUCCGACCCAUCGGCUGACGAUGUGGCAGAGCCGGCGGUCGACAUCCCGUGCGACGUCGAGUUCGAGCCGACGCCACCCGACGUCAUCGAGGAGCCCAAGCCACCACCUAUCAUAGACCCACCGGUUGAAGAGCCACCGAUGGACCCACCACCGGUUGAGGAGCCACCGCCUGUCGAGGAGCCUCCGGAACCGCCAGUGGACCCACUACCGGUUGAGGAGCCACCACCAGUCGAGGAUCCUCCGGCACCGGUUGACCCGCCCGUGGAACCGCCUCCCAUGGAGNNUCCUCCAGCGCCGGUCGACCCGCCCGUGGAACCGCCACCCAUGGAGGAGCCGCCGGUGGAGCCACCACCGGUUGAGGAGCCACCACCUGCCGAGGAUCCUCCGACGCCGGUCCACCCGCCCGUGGAACCGCCACCCAUGGAGGAGCCACCGAUGGACCCACCACCAGCAGAGGCAAAGCCAUCUGAUGGUAGCGACCAAUCGGAUGGUAGCACUGAUGGUGAGGACAACGGCGAGGGGGGUGGCCGCAAGGGUAAGCGACGCAGUGGCGGGAAAGGACGACGGAGGCGCAGGCGGCGUGGUAGGUUCCCGUUCGGCAUGGUGGUUGCUCCUGCUGUGAUCUUGCUCGCUCUCGCAGUGCUCGCGGCCAAGAGACGGCGGCAACAGGGCGGGGGUUGA